AACGAACGCUGGCGGCAGGCCUAACACAUGCAAGUCGAACGCCGUAGCAAUACGGAGUGGCAGACGGGUGAGUAACGCGUGGGAACGUACCCUUCAGUUCGGAAUAACCCAGGGAAACUUGGGCUAAUACCGGAUACGUGCGAGAGCAGAAAGAUUUAUCGCUGAAGGAUCGACCCGCGUCCGAUUAGCUAGUUGGUGAGGUAAUGGCUCACCAAGGCGACGAUCGGUAGCUGGUCUGAGAGGAUGAUCAGCCACAUUGGGACUGAGACACGGCCCAAACUCCUACGGGAGGCAGCAGUGGGGAAUAUUGGACAAUGGGCGCAAGCCUGAUCCAGCCAUGCCGCGUGAGUGAUGAAGGCCCUAGGGUUGUAAAGCUCUUUCGCCAGGGACGAUAAUGACGGUACCUGGAUAAGAAGCCCCGGCUAACUUCGUGCCAGCCGCCGCGGUAA
rnacentral:rRNA from 1 species